rnacentral:rRNA from 1 species
GGAUGAACGCUGGCGGCGUGCCUAAUCCAUGCAAGUCGAGCGAACGGACGAGAAGCUUGCUUUUCUGAUGUUAGCGGCGGACGGGUGAGUAACACGUGGAUAACCUACCUAUAAGACUGGGAUAACUUCGGGAAACCGGAGCUAAUACCGGAUAAUAUUUUGAACCGCAUGGUUCAAAAGUGAAAGACGGUCUUGCUGUCACUUAUAGAUGGAUCCGCGCUGCAUUAGCUAGUUGGUAAGGUAACGGCUUACCAAGGCAACGAUGCAUAGCCGACCUGAGAGGGUGAUCGGCCACACUGGAACUGAGACACGGUCCAGACUCCUACGGGAGGCAGCAGUAGGGAAUCUUCCGCAAUGGGCGAAAGCCUGACGGAGCAACGCCGCGUGAGUGAUGAAGGUCUUCGGAUCGUAAAACUCUGUUAUUAGGGAAGAACAUAUGUGUAAGUAACUGUGCACAUCUUGACGGUACCUAAUCAGAAAGCCACGGCUAACUACGUG